UUGAGUUGACCGGUACUAAUAGGCCGAGGGCUUAACCACCCUAAAUUUUAUGCUUACGCGUCCACUGUGUGAUUCACAGCAAACGAACAACCACCCCAGAAAUUGGGUUGUUGGUUGGUCUACCGCUGACCGUUGUUUCGGUGGUCAUAGCGGAGGGGAAACGCCCGGUUACAUUCCGAACCCGGUAGCUAAGCCCUCCAGCGCCGAUGGUACUGCACUCGGGAGGGUGUGGGAGAGUAGGACGCCGCCGGAC
rnacentral:rRNA from 1 species